GUUCUCCGUCACAGACGUCAGCUGAAACGCAAGCGGACCAUUUCAAACCUCCCAAGCCGUAGUUUCUAUUUUUCAUUCUGUUUAAAUAUGUACACGUGUUGUGGACGCCGACGUUUCUUUGGAGACGUGAAUUUAUGCUUUGGAUGAAUAAUUAAAUUAUACAAACACGUCGGACUUUGACGUCAUCAGUGGUCGACCAAAACAAAAACAUGGCGGAAAGUCAUUCGGCUGGACUUCGGUAGAAAUUUCUCUUCUUUUUUGUUUAUCAUCCUUUCGUCUGUUUAGAGUCUGUCAGUGAUUUUGUAGAAUUGCAAUACUGCGUUCGCUGUUGGUACUGUAGAAGCUUAUUUUGUUCUCCGGGAGUUGCCAGGGUUAGUUAGUUGGCAGGGGGGGUUAUGUUGGACUGCGCGGGGUUUUGGGUCGUGUCUAAAGACUGAAGGCACGAAUAAUGUUGUUAUCUUGCUGCACCAACGAACUUGGACCUUAUUGACUGCUGUCCGGGCGGAUUUACCAAAUAUAACCCUCUGCUACAAUACUACGGACACCAAAGACACAAAGCUGAAUGAUUUUGACUCACGUCCACUGUGUUUAAAAUCAAGUGGCCACUGAUAAAUUGGUAUUCAGGCUGAACUCACUCAACUGAGGAGCAUCAUGGAUGACGAUGAUGCCUUAUUUCUUGCUGAUUUGCUGUUGGAGGAAUGCAAGAAUACUCAACCUAAAGAAUCCUCAGAAGUGUCUGGACCGGACAAAUUUACAUUUGUUUGGGUUGAGGAGGACGAGGAAGGGAAUCCUCUCCCAAAGGGGAGGAGAACAGGGAAGAAGCGGGUAAAGAGUUCAUCCUCAGGUGAUUUUUGUUCACUAUCUUUAUGAUCUCUAUUGCCUGUCUUUGGCUGACUACAUUGGUUAUGUAUUAUUAUAGAACUAAUGUCAGUCAACUGCUUCAGUAUUUGAUUGAUUUGUCACGGUUGUGGGGCUAACUAUUUGACACGACACUGUCCUAGUGAGGACAUUUCGCUGAAUACAGGACAUAAUGUCACAUCACAAUGUUUACAUGGUUGAGUAGUCAGUAUAAGUGGUUUACUGUAAUGUGGUUAAGUGGUUAAAUUAAUUUCAGAGUCCUGCUUAAUGUUAGUAAUUUGUUUUGGAUGUUUGUUGUUGUUUAAGGUGAGAGACAAUGGUCAAUUGUCAAUUGGGUCAAUGAGUCCUCACAAAGUCCUCACAAAACAUAAUUAUGUGUGUGAGUUACAAAACUCUACUGAAAACAAUGAUGUCAAAAUAUUGGCUAAAGGGAGACGUCUUGAAAUAGUUAAAGAAGCCACUUUGACCAGAGGGGAAAUCCUUCUUUCAACAUGAGGUCUUGACUUGGACCCUAUCUUUCAGCGUUUCCAUCCACAAUUCCAUGGUUUUACAUAAUAGAUCAUCCAUGAUAGAGGGAUUCUACAGGCCACUGCCACCAACCACUCACAUCAGUGAAGAGAAGGGAGGAAAAUUCUCCUUCCAUGGAAGAGAGUGCAUUUUGCUAGUAAUGCAUCCAUGCUGUGACUGCUGCUCUGGGCGUACAACCUUUUCUGCAGGAAAGCAAGUAAUUCUGAUUGGAAUGAAUGGUCGAUACAAUGUGUCCCUCCCAACUGUCAGCUGCUCCUGCGGGAAAGCUUUGGAUGUCGGUAUUAGUGAGCUGAUUGAAAGUGGCUACUGGCCAGCUACAGUCCAUUUUGAGACGCUGUACACAGUGGAUUUGUUCGCUACAUACGAAGAUCUCAAGAUUACUGCACCAGGAAUGUCAAGCUUUCGUUGGUAUGCUUGAGCAGCGCACAAAACUCUUUGGUCGGUGUGGUAAAAUAUGUGGCGACACCAUGCAAAAAUCAUUCCUGGAAUGGUCGUACGCAAAAUUUGAAGUUGAGAGGCUGUCUGAAGUCGCUCAGUUUCGGUGCCCAGCCUGCACACCCUCAAUGUUAGCUGUCUCAGUGGAUGGGAAACUGAACUUGAAAAAAACAUUGAAGGACUGUAUCUCAGCAUUAAGCAGCGGAAAUAUCAGCUGUAUCGUCAGGCUGAUGGCAACAAGAGAAGACAUCUGCUUAGAAAAAAGAUUUCAGUGGAAAAGAGAUCCUUAGAAGAUGCCAUCACAAAAUACAAUGCUGUUGUGCCGGAAACUGGCAAACUCCCUUCUCCCAACGAGCUCCUGGCUGAGGAAAACUAUUCCUGGCCUUGGGAAUGUCAUGGUGAUAUGUUAAAGAAAAAAAAGGUCUUCGACAAGGUAAUGCUGCUGAAACGACUGAAGGAAGAGGAGGUCAUUGUUGUCCGUGAAGUCAAGCAGCACUGGGAGUACAUGAGGAAUAUGGCUGGAAAUAUUCAAGAGAUUUCCUCCCAGCUUUCAGAAGGGAUCACUCAGCAAAGCGGCACAGAAGCAUUGACUGGGAGAGGACGUGAGGGGCUACUCUGUCUGCUGAAGAGAAGACUGUCAGCAAUUCAAGCUCAGCAGGGUGCAGCUCGCUCAACGUACCAACAUGUUUUGGGAUCGCAAGCCUUGUCUCUCGAUGAUUCCUCCACUGAUGAUGAAGAACCCCAUGAUAGCAGCUCCUCCACCGAAGAUGAAGAACACUAGCAUUGUAGCUCCUCUUCUGAACUUUGACCUCCCUCAUUAAAAAAUGAGGAAAACUGUUGUAAUUACCUGGCCUGCAGUAUGAAUGUGAAAUGUUAAAAUAAACUGUCCUGCAAUUGACUCUUUUUCUGAGUUAUGUACUAUUACUAUUUUGAAGUAGAUGCUGAUGCUUUUUAUGUAAAUUAUGAAUUAUUAAUUUGAGAUUUGUUGGUAGGGCAGUGAAAUACGGCUUUUCAUGCAGCCUCAAUAAAGUCAAUUAACAGGCUAUGUUCA